rnacentral:rRNA from 1 species
GUAGUUAGCCGGGGCUUUCUUACAGGGUACCGUCACUUCUUCGUCCCCUGCGACAGAGGUUUACAAUCCGAAAACCUUCUUCCCUCACGCGGCGUUGCUGGGUCAGGCUUGCGCCCAUUGCCCAAUAUUCCCCACUGCUGCCUCCCGUAGGAGUCUGGACCGUGUCUCAGUUCCAGUGUGGCCGAUCAGCCUCUCAGCUCGGCUACCCAUCGUCGGCUUGGUGGGCUGUUAUCUCACCAACUACCUAAUGGGACGCGAACCCCUCUAAAAGCGAUAAAUCUUUGACCUCUUCCCGAUGCCGGGUUGUGGUCUUAUGCGGUAUUAGCAGUUGUUUCCACCUGUUAUUCCCCACUCUUAGGCAGGUUGUUCACGCGUUACUCACCCGUGCGCCACUAGAAUUAUCAAUUCCAUCCGAAAACUUCCUUAAUAAUCCCCGUUCGACUUGCAUGUGUUAGGCACGCCGCCAGCGUUCGUCCUGAGCCAUGAUCAAACUCUGA